rnacentral:misc_RNA from 1 species
GAAAAAACCAAACUACUGUACUGUAUACAAAUGGAUGUGCAAGAUUCUGAGUACCUUCUAUUUCACGCUGUCAACUUCUUGGCUAGUCAUGUACAAUAUGGCAUAGUCCUCUAUUUCUUAAGAAGAUUUAACUACUCUUUGGAUGCAUCUUCAGAACCUUGUAUCAUAUUACAUCUGACCACAAUCUUGCGAAAAUCAUCCAGGCUCAACUUUCCGUCUCCAUUAGAAUCAAAACAACGAAUCAUAUUUGCCAUGUCUUCAUCUGACCAUGUAAAAUCAUGGGAAACUACCAUUUUCUGUAGAUCUCUAAAAUUUAUACUCCCUUUUCCAGCUUCAUCAAACUGAAA